AUUGAACGCUGGCGGCAGGCUUAACACAUGCAAGUCGAGCGAGCGGCGGACGGGUGAGUAUUGUCUGUGAAACUGCCUGAUGGAGGGGGAUAACUACUGGAAACGGUAGCUAAUACCGCAUACCAUCAGAUGUGCUCAGAUGGGAUUAGCUAGUAGGUGGGGUAAUGGCUCACCUAGGCGACGAUCCCCAGCUGGUCUGUGAGGAGGACCAGCCCAACUGAAACUGAGACACGGUCCAGACUCCUACGGGAGGCAGCAGUGGGGAAUAUUGCACAAUGGGCGCAAGCCUGAUGCAGCCAUGCCGCGUGUGUGAAGAAGGCCUUCGGGUUGUAAAGCACUUUCAGCGAGGAGGCGUUACUCGCAGAAGAAGCACCGGCUAACUCCGUGCCAGCCGCCGCGGUAAUUC
rnacentral:rRNA from 1 species